AUUUAUAUAGUUUAACUUAAAACACUACAUUUUCAAUGUAUAGUUGAAUCCAAUUCUAUAAAUA
rnacentral:tRNA from 1 species